ensembl:lncRNA
AGUACACGCCGCGAGAAGCACACACACAGCACAUCCCACACUACACACACACCUACACACCACCACAACACGGGAGGAGACACACACACACACACACACUAACACACCACACACCACACAGGCCGAGAGAGACACACACACACACACACACACACAGCCUAGAGAGACACCACACACACACACACACACACACACACAGCCGAGAGAACAACACACACACACACACACACACAAGCCGAGAGACACACACACACACAGCCGAGAGAGCACACACACACAACAACACACACACACCAAACAACAACACACACACACACACACACACACCACACACACACACACUACAGCACACCCCGCCGAGAGGAGACACACACACACACACACAGCACAUCACAGCGAGUGAGACACACACACACACACACACACACACAGCCGAAGUAGACACACACAUACACACACACACACACAGCCGAGAGAUACACACACACACCCACACAACGCCGAGAGAGCACACACACACACACCCUCACACACAGCCGAGGGACACCACACACACACACACACACACAGCCGAGAGAGGACCACACACACACACACACACACACAGCCGAGAACACACACACACACCACCACACACACACACACACACCACCACACACAGCCAGAGCCACAACCACACACACACACCCACACACCAACCACAGCCUAGACGGACACACACACACACACACACACAGCCAAGCACACCACACACACCACACACACCUGCCAAACACACAACACACACACACAGCCGCGAGAGACACACACACACACACAAGCUCAUAGACACCACACACACACGAAGCACACCGAGAGACCACACACACACACACACACAGCCGAAUACACACACACACACACCCACACCCGAGACACAACACACACCACAACACUACCACCCCAUCACACACACACACACACAACACACACACAGCCCAUACACACACACACACACACACCACCACACAUCACACACAUCACACACACACACACACCACACCACACACACACACACACACACACACACACACACAGUAUACACACACACACACACAGCCAGGACACACACACACACCCCUAUCAGACACACACACAGCAACACACCCACACACACACCAGACACACAUCACAUCACACACACCGAAACACACACACACACACACACACACCUAUCACACACACCCCAACACACAAAACACACACCCCACACACACACCACACACACACACACACACACCAACACCACACACACACCCACACACCACACCUAUACACACACACACACACACACAUCCUAUUACACACACCACACCACACACCUAACACACACACAAACCCCGACACACACACACCACCAUAUACACCAACACACACACCACACACACACACACACACACAUCCUAUCUCACACACCACCACACACCACACACACACACCACACACACACACCUAUAUAUACACACACACACACACACCCACACACACCACACACACCACACAUCCUAUAUAUACACACACACCCCACCACACACACACACCCACACACACACACCACAUCUAUUAUACACACACACACCACACACACAAGGUCCUCUUUGUAAAUGCCAUCCUAAAAUAGGACUGGUUGCAGCAUUACUGUAAAAGUGGAAGGGGG